rnacentral:rRNA from 1 species
UACGAAGGGUGCUAGCGUUGCUCGGAAUCACUGGGCGUAAAGGGUGCGUAGGCAGGUCUUUAAGUCAGGGGUGAAAUCCUGGAGCUCAACUCCAGAACUGCCUUUGAUACUGAAGAUCUUGAGUUCGGGAGAGGUGAGUGGAACUGCGAGUGUAGAGGUGAAAUUCGUAGAUAUUCGCAAGAACACCAGUGGCGAAGGCGGCUCACUGGCCCGAUACUGACGCUGAUGCACGAAAGCGUGGGGAGCAAACAGG